rnacentral:rRNA from 1 species
GUAUAUUUUAUUAUUAAUUUUAUAAGUUUUCUUAUAUUUUAUUUAAAAUAUUAUAUUUUUUAUUAUUUAAAUAGAAAAAAUAUAUUUAAUUAUAGUUUAUUUGUAUUGAAAAAGAAUUGUUUAAAAUUUAUAAAAGAAAAAUUUUAUUUUUGUACCUUGUGUAUCAGGGUUGAUUAAAUAUAAAUUUAAUAUAUAAGUAUUCUCGAAUCUAAAAGAGCUAAUUUUAUAUAUCUUUUAUUGUUGAAUAAAUAUUGUUCAUAUUAAAUUAGAAAUGAAACGUUAUUCGUUUUUAGAUAUAUCUAGUUUUUUAAGAAAAAAAUUCAAUUUGUUUAUUAUAAAAAUGUUUUUAUUUAUUUAUAAUAAAAUAUUAAUAAUAAGUUAUAUUUUAAGGGAUAAGCUUUAAAAUAAAAUAAUAUAAAUUAUAUUAAAUUUUAUUAAAUGUAGGAUUAGAAUUUUUUAUCAUUAAUAAAAUGUUAUAAUUAAUUAUAUAAGAAAAUAUUAUUUAUAAUAAUUUUAAUUUUUAUAUUAAAAUAUAUUUUUAAAUUUUAAAAAAUUAAUAAUAAUGAUUAAAUUAGUAUAACUUUAUUUAUAAGUAAUUAUAUUUAUUUAGGUUUUUAAAAGGAAUUCGGCAAAUUAUUUUUUUACCUGUUUAUUAAAAACAUGUCUUUUUGAUUUUUAUAUAAAGUCUGACCUGCCCAAUGAUUAAUUUUAAAUGGCCGCGGUAAUUUGACCGUGCAAAGGUAGCAUAAUAAUUAGUUUUUUAAUUGAAAGCUGGAAUGAAAGGUCGGAUAAGAAAAAUACUGUCUCUUAAAAAUUUUAUUAGAAUUUUAUAUUUAAGUAAAAAAGCUUAAAUUUGAUUUAAAGACGAGAAGACCCUUUAGAGUUUUAUAUUAAAUAAAUUAUUUUUUUUUUUAGAAUUAAUUUAAAUGAUUAAUUUAUUUAUAUUUGGUUGGGGCGAUUGAAAAAUUUAAUUAACUUUUUUUUUUAUAUUACAUUUAUAUAUGAUUAUAUGAUCCAUUUUUUAUGAUUAUAAGAAUAAAUUACCUAAGGGAUAACAGCGUUAUUUUUUUUGAGAGUUCAUAUCGAAAGAAAAGAUUGCGACCUCGAUGUUGGAUUAAAAUUAAAUUAUGGUGCAGAAGCUAUAACUUUAGGUCUGUUCGACCUUUAAAAUUUUACAUGAUCUGAGUUUAAACCGGCGUAAGCCAGGUUGGUUUCUAUCUUAAAUUAAUUUUAAUAUUUUAGUACGAAAGGACCAAAUAUUAAAUUUAUAAUUUAAUUUUUGAUUACGAUU